AUGUCAGCGGCACCGCACGGGCGGCUCAGCGUUUCGCUCGCGGUGCCGGGCCUGCAGCGGCCGCAGCCGCCCCCCGAGCCGCCCGCCGCCGCCCUGCCCAUGUAUGUAGAAGCACGGGCUCUCGGAGCUGGCCGCGUGCGGCGCGGCGGAAAGCGGAGCCGGGGGAGGAGGGAAGGGACGCGCUCUCCCCGGCACACACGGUGUUUCCGCAGAACUGAAAGCGACGCACGGCGCCGGCCAGCACCCCGCCCGCCCAGCCCGGCCCGGCGUCUCGCCCCGCACCUGGUUCCCGCAGCACAAGCUGCCCGUCAGCCGCGCCGUCCUGUGCGGCUCUGCGCUUCGUCCACGGGUUCUCCUUGGGCGGAGGGGCUUCGGCCGCCGCCUCCCGUCGCCGCUCCUCGGGCUCGGGCUCCCGCCGGCCGCCGCUCUCCCCGGCCUCCUUCCCGCCGGGCGAACCGGACUCUCUCCGCCGGGUCCCUUCCGCCGGCCCGUCUCGGCCCUCGGCGCCCCAGGCCGGGCGCUCGGCGGGCGCGGCGGACACCUGCGCGGCAGACAUGCCCUGCCGGCCGCCGCGAGCGGCCCUCGGGGGAAGGCGGCGGGGCACCGAGGCGGAGCGGCCGUCUCUCCUCCCCCAGCCGCCGCCGCUCCGCCCCGUCUUCCGGGGCUCCCCUGUCAGCUCCGGCGGCCCCUCCGCCGGCGACCGCGGCGGGGGCAGGAGGGAGGAGCAAGAGAGGCCGCUCGCUGCCAGCCGCCGGCUCGGAGGGCGGCGGCCGCCCCAGCCGCGCGGUGAGCUCACAAGGGCCGCGCCGCGCCCCGGGCUCGGUGGGAGGCACGCGCCGCGCGGACGGCCGGCACGGACCGGGCAGCGCGGCCCGCCGCUGCGCGCAGCGAGGAAAGGCGGCCGGGCGUGCUUCGUUUUACUCGGGGACGGGGCCCGCCUCGAAAACCGCAUUAAAAGCUGCGUUAGAUGGGACUCGUGUAUUAGCUCUGCUUGAAAGCGGCUGGUCAGGCAGCUGGCUGAGCUACGCCACCAGCCAGAGCACGAGGCGCGUGCCCUGA
rnacentral:lncRNA from 1 species